UUUGCACUAAACUCCUUAUUGCAUAUUAGGUGAACCCACUUCAGCUUGAGCUUUCUUGCUAGUUUGAACAACACAUCAUACUGGUCUAAUACUGUAGUUAUGCUCAACUUAACGUGCAAGUAGUAGAGCAAAAUUUGGUCUACACUUGUAAAGUAGUCACGCUGAGUUUGAGUACUAACACUUAGCUUAGUCAACUUGAUAAUUAAUUAGGGAAGAAGUAGAUAAAACCUCGGGUCCGAAAGCGGAUUCUUAAUUAUAUUAGAACCCAAAAGGGAACAAAAAUGUUGCAUA
rnacentral:lncRNA from 1 species